CAGCCGCCGCGGGAAUAUGUAGGUGGCAAGCGUUGUCCGGAAUUAUUGGGCGUAAAGGGCUCGCAGGCGGUUUCUUAAGUCUGAUGUGAAAGCCCCCGGCUCAACCGGGGAGGGUCAUUGGAAACUGGGAAACUUGAGUGCAGAAGAGGAGAGUGGAAUUCCACGUGUAGCGGUGAAAUGCGUAGAGAUGUGGAGGAACACCAGUGGCGAAGGCGACUCUCUGGUCUGUAACUGACGCUGAGGAGCGAAAGCGUGGGGAGCGAACAGGAUUAGAUACCCCAGUAGUCCCUGUCUCUUAUAC
rnacentral:rRNA from 1 species